rfam:Populus trichocarpa scaffold_12_contig_150, whole genome shotgun sequence.
UCUAAAACUUGAGAUAUGAGCUGAACACUGAAUAGUGUGUGGGCUGCAGGACAGAUUUCGACUUCACUGUUGUUGCUACAAUUUGAACUUGAAAACGGUCCUUUUGAAUCUUGGACUCUUCAUGAAAGUUUUAGGCCUAUGUCUUAGAUUUCUAUC